rnacentral:miRNA from 1 species
UAAGUUAAGAACCUCCGCUC